UGUUCUGGCCUCGGGGUUGUGCGUGGGUGAUUGUCUCUUCUCGACGAUUGGCCUGGCCUCGGGUGGAGUUUUGUGCGUCUUCAUGUGUGUGGGGAGUCUGGGGCAUGUGUUCGGUUGCGCCUUUCUGUGCUUGAAAGUCGAGGGGAGCUCUCUAUGUUUAACCAGUUUGUUUGGUUUAACAGCAAGCUUCUUGGUCGGGUCCUGUUUGAGUUCUUCCGCCUUGGAUUCUUUAAUAUAUUUGUUGAGGAGUUCAUCAUGUUCAGGUCUUUUCGUAGUAACAAGUUUUCUGCUUUUGUCCUCCCUCGUGAUUGUGUGG
rnacentral:lncRNA from 1 species